rnacentral:rRNA from 1 species
AUCCUGGCUCAGAUUGAACGCUGGCGGCAUGCCUAACACAUGCAAGUCGAACGGUAGCACAGUAGAGCUUGCUCUAUGGGUGACGAGUGGCGGACGGGUGAGUAAUGCAUCGGGACCUACCUAGACGUGGGGGAUAACGUAGGGAAGCUUACGCUAAUACCGCAUACGUCCUACGGGAGAAAGCAGGGGACCUUCGGGCCUUGCGCGGUUAGACGGACCGAUGUUCGAUUAGCUUGUUGGUAGGGUAAUGGCCUACCAAGGCGACGAUCGAUAGCUGGUCUGAGAGGAUGAUCAGCCACACUGGGACUGAGACACGGCCCAGACUCCUACGGGAGGCAGCAGUGGGGAAUAUUGGACAAUGGGCGCAAGCCUGAUCCAGCAAUGCCGCGUGUGUGAAGAAGGCCUUCGGGUUGUAAAGCACUUUUAUCAGGAACGAAAUCCUACUGGUUAAUACCCGGUGGGUCUGACGGUACCUGAGGAAUAAGCACCGGCUAACUUCGUG